rnacentral:sRNA from 1 species
CAGGCCUUUAGGCUUGGCUUAGGAGUCUCUUCAACAGCCACCUGGGGCUCGGGCCUUUGGAUUGAAUGUCAGCAUUGGAUUUUCUGGUUUUCUGUCUUAUAGACAGGGGGCAAUAGAACUUCUGGGGCACCAAAAUCAACUGGUCUGCUACCAGAAGGGGCCACCCCAACUGACAGAGGGUCUUCACACAUCGAUCAAGGCGGUCAGGACAAUUCAUCUGCUGAGACUCCCUAUUCAGGUCCUCCUCACUCACUUGCCUGUGAACCAGCACGCUCUUUGGAAAAGCCCUGGUCACCAUCGUGUCUUAUGCUGAUCUCCAGGUGCCUGCUCUUGCCCUGCUCUGGGUGCAGGCUCAGAAGCCACACCCCUUAUAGCAGCGUGCACGUUUCUCCUGUUUCUCCAAUCACGCUUCUCUUUCCCGACUGCUGGUUCUUCCCACUUUAUCUCUCCCAUUACCUGCUAGGCUUCAGUUUGAGGUUUGGAAGCCGUUCAUCUUUUCUGCCCCGCGUCGCACACCCAAGAGUCUGAGAGGAUGCCAUUCCAAUUCCAGCCCUGCAUGAACCAGCCCUGUGCCCUUGGGCGCGAGGUUUCAACUUUCUGGGCCUCAGUUUCCUAAUCCAUGAAUUGCAAUAAAUCUAGGCCUCUGGGUACACGUGGAGAUUAAACAAGAUAAUCUAAAUGACAGCUCUAGUACAGUAGCUGGCAAAGGUAAAUGGUAAUUACAGCCCACGUCCCUUCUUCCCACGUGUCCUCUCUUGCUCCUUCUAUACAGCAGCACGGUGCAGCCUCCCUUUCAAGUCCCCAUUUUCUGGCCUACAUAAAAAUAGCAACACAUAAAAUGAAAUUGCACAGAGUAUUUUUAUAUCCCCCAAAUAACUCGAUUCAAUUAUAGACUGGUCAAUUUUAGGUGUUUGAGCAUUACCAAUGCAUCUAAAGCUGGUAAAUCAAGUUCCAGGUCUCCAUUUAGAAAAUAAAGAACUGAAUCAAUCCCUUGGAAAAAAUUUGUUAGGGAAAGACAUUUUUUUUUUCUUGAGGCCCUAAACCUUAUAUGGAAUGUGUCAGCAAUUGCUAACUCUGCUGGCUGGAAGACCGAACACAAGGAACCCUUUAUACUUCUAAUCUGCCACGGUCUCUGAGAGUCUAGCGGAGGGAUUGAAGCUCAUGCUUUCUGGCAAUAGAGAUUUGGCAGGAGAUCCCUGAGUGCACCCGAAGAGUGCUCAUGUGACUCACUUUGUGCAGGGGAAUCCAGAAAAUCAGGAAGAAAUGUGGCAAUGAAUGGAAAAGCACUUACCAACGCAUUAUUGCAACUGUUAGUGGGAAAACAGUAACAGUCCCUAAGCUAAAGCGAGAGUCAAGGCACGGUCACAGUAUUCUUACAGACAAAUACAAAGUAACGAGAAUGGUCCAGGUUCUAAUGUUGGCAGUGCUACUUGUUACUGUUGUAGGAAGGUACCCCUAUUUAUGUGUGUGUAGGUGCUUUUGUGUGUAUGGUUGUACAUGCACAGGUGUGUACAUAUAUGUUGAGGACACAGAACAAACUUAGAUGUCUUUCCUCAGGUACUGUCCAUCUUUCUGAAACCUGGUUUAGAACUCACAGACAGGCUAGAGUGACUGGCCAGGGAGUCCCAGUGCAGCAUUGAAAUCGCAAGCAUUUUCCUACACCUGGCUUUUAAACGUGGGUUAUGGGGAUCAAAGUCAGGUCCUUGUGCUGGCACCACAUGUGUUUCAGCAACUGAGUUAGCUCCCCAGGACCUAGUACCACUUUCCUCUGUAACUUUAGUCAAAUAACUUCAUGUAGCUGAGUCUCUACUUCAUCGGUAAACAAGAAACUAAUACUCUUUACACAGUAUGCCUGGGGACCUAGAAAGUAUUUAAUCAUGGUGUGGGUGUGACUAUGAAUUCAUAUGAUCAUGUGGUUUAUUUUUACACCUUCUCCUUGGUACCUUCAUUCACUUUCACUUUUGUUUUAGAUUAUUUAUUUAACAUGUAUGAAUGUUUUACCUGCAUGUAUGUAUGUAUGUCACAUGCAUGCCUGGUACCUGUGGAGAUCAGAAGAGGGCACCAGAUUUACUGGGAUUGGUGUUACGGACGUUUGUGAGUUGUGGGUGUGACAGCUGUGUCUCUUACUGCUGAGCCACCACCCCAGCCUCAUCUCCUUGGUCCUUGUCUUAGUUGGGGGUUUCUAUCGCUGUCAUAAAACACCAUGACCAAUGCAACUUUGAUAGGAAAGGGUUUAUUUAG